UACGGAGGGUGCAAGCGUUAAUCGGAAUUACUGGGCGUAAAGCGUGCGCAGGCGGUUUGUUAAGUCUGCUGUGAAAUCCCCGAGCUCAACUUGGGAAUUGCAGUGGAUACUGGCAAGCUAGAGUAUGGUAGAGGAAGGUGGAAUUCCCGGUGUAGCAGUGAAAUGCGCAGAUAUCAGGAGGAACACCGAUGGCGAAGGCAGCUCGCUGGGACGGUAUUGACGCUGAGACGCGAAAGCGUGGGGAGCAAACAGG
rnacentral:rRNA from 1 species